rnacentral:rRNA from 1 species
GAAUUGACGGGGGCCCGCACAAGCGGCGGAGCAUGUUGCUUAAUUCGAUGCAACGCGAAGAACCUUACCUAGGCUUGACAUGCACGGAAAUCUCCCAGAGAUGGGGGGUCCGUAAGGGCCGUGCACAGGUGGUGCAUGGUUGUCGUCAGCUCGUGUCGUGAGAUGUUGGGUUAAGUCCCGCAACGAGCGCAACCCUCGUUCCAUGUUGCCAGCGGAUAAUGCCGGGGACUCAUGGGAGACUGCCGGGGUCAACUCGGAGGAAGGUGGGGAUGACGUCAAAUCAUCAUGCCCCUUAUGUCUAGGGCUGCAAACAUGCUACAAUGGCCGGUACAAAGGGCUGCGAUACCGCGAGGUGGAGCGAAUCCCAAAAAGCCGGUCUCAGUUCGGAUUGGGGUCUGCAACUCGACCCCAUGAAGUUGGAGUCGCUAGUAAUCGCAGAUCAGCAACGCUGCGGUGAAUACGUUCCCGGGCCUUGUACACACCG